AGAGUUUGAUCCUGGCUCAGAUUGAACGCUGGCGGCAUGCCUUACACAUGCAAGUCGAACGGCAGCACGAGAGCUUGCUCUUGGUGGCGAGUGGCGAACGGGUGAGUAAUAUAUCGGAACGUACCCUAGAGUGGGGGAUAACGUAGCGAAAGUUACGCUAAUACCGCAUACGAUCUACGGAUGAAAGUGGGGGAUCGCAAGACCUCAUGCUCAUGGAGCGGCCGAUAUCUGAUUAGCUAGUUGGUGGGGUAAAAGCUCACCAAGGCGACGAUCAGUAGCUGGUCUGAGAGGACGACCAGCCACACUGGAACUGAGACACGGUCCAGACUCCUACGGGAGGCAGCAGUGGGGAAUUUUGGACAAUGGGCGCAAGCCUGAUCCAGCAAUGCCGCGUGAGUGAAGAAGGCCUUCGGGUUGUAAAGCUCUUUUGUCAGGGAAGAAACGGUGGACUCUAAUACAGAUCACUAAUGACGGUACCUGAAGAAUAAGCACCGGCUAACUACGUGCCAGCAGCCGCGGUAAUACGUAGGGUGCAAGCGUUAAUCGGAACUACUGGGCGUAAAGCGUGCGCAGGCGGUUGUGCAAGACAGAUGUGAAAUCCCCGGGCUCAACCUGGGAAUUGCAUUUGUGACUGCACGGCUAGAGUGUGUCAGAGGGGGGUAGAAUUCCACGUGUAGCAGUGAAAUGCGUAGAGAUGUGGAGGAAUACCGAUGGCGAAGGCAGCCCCCUGGGAUAACACUGACGCUCAUGCACGAAAGCGUGGGGAGCAAACAGGAUUAGAUACCCUGGUAGUCCACGCCCUAAACGAUGUCUACUAGUUGUCGGGUCUUAAUUGACUUGGUAACGCAGCUAACGCGUGAAGUAGACCGCCUGGGGAGUACGGUCGCAAGAUUAAAACUCAAAGGAAUUGACGGGGACCCGCACAAGCGGUGGAUGAUGUGGAUUAAUUCGAUGCAACGCGAAAAACCUUACCUACCCUUGACAUGUCUGGAAUCCUUGAGAGAUCAGGGAGUGCUCGAGAGAGAAUCAGAACACAGGUGCUGCAUGGCUGUCGUCAGCUCGUGUCGUGAGAUGUUGGGUUAAGUCCCGCAACGAGCGCAACCCUUGUCAUUAGUUGCUACGAAAGGGCACUCUAAUGAGACUGCCGGUGACAAACCGGAGGAAGGUGGGGAUGACGUCAAGUCCUCAUGGCCCUUAUGGGUAGGGCUUCACACGUCAUACAAUGGUACAUACAGAGGGCCGCCAACCCGCGAGGGGGAGCUAAUCCCAGAAAGUGUAUCGUAGUCCGGAUUGUAGUCUGCAACUCGACUACAUGAAGUUGGAAUCGCUAGUAAUCGCGGAUCAGCAUGUCGCGGUGAAUACGUUCCCGGGUCUUGUACACACCGCCCGUCACACCAUGGGAGCGGGUUUCACCAGAAGUGGGUAGCCUAACCGCAAGGAGGGCGCUCACCACGGUGGGAUUCGUGACUGGGGUGAAGUCGUAACAAGGUA
rnacentral:rRNA from 1 species